rnacentral:lncRNA from 1 species
AACUCAUGAAGUUUUAGCAUCCAACCUGAUACAUGAUGAUUCAGCUUCAUUGAGUGUUGGUUCUGCUGUCACUAUUGUUCCUCACGUUUUCCCUUUUGAGGAGAGGUAACUGAUUCCAUGACCAUUAAGAAGAGUGAUAAAUGUUUUAUCUAAUUAUGCUAUUCUGUUGUUUAUGUGUUAUGACAUUUUAGUUGUUGCAUUGUAUUGAUUCUUUUGAAGGAUAAGUUAUAAGUGAAGAGCUAGAUGAUUUGUGUUGUAGCCAAAAUGAAUCGAUUUAUGAAAUUUUAUCAUGUCAGCAGAAAUUAUAAGUCACAUAAAAAGAUGAUCUUAAUUUGGUUGUGAAGUCACCGAGCUUGUAUAGACUAAAUUAACAUUUCUAGGUACAUUCAUAUAUUAUUUUUUGUUUCUUCUUGUGUUGGCUGGUCAAAGAAAUAUCUUUAAACAGAGUACACUGUAGAAGAUUACUGAUAUUAUCACUUUCUCUUUCAAACUAUCUUAAAUAUGAUAUGCUCAUGAAAAUCAUUUUUAAAUAAUACUCAUUUAUACUAUGAAGUAACGAACAUUGUAUUACAUGAGUGGUUGUAUUUAUGUAUGAAUUAUACACUAUAUGUAUGAAUUAUAUACUAUAUGAUAAACAUUAGAAAGACAUAAGUAAAGAAAAUAAAUAGGAAUACCUAUUGUUAAUGACAGUAUUGAUUAAUAUGAUGGAGUUGGAUUUUUUUUAAGAAACGAACUGCCAGUCAGACACCAUCAAAGCUCAUGAUAUAGUGGUCUCAAUUAAACAUAGGCAUAUUUGGCUUGUGUAUUUGUGCUUAUAUAUAAUGAUAUUUGUACUAUCUUUUAAACCAAUGCCUUUUUAUCUUCACUUUUGCAGUUACUUUUAUUUGAGUUCCAUUUUCUAAGCAGUUAAUUUCUACUAAUUUCUACCCAAUUUUAUUGUGUACAUAUCAAUAUUAGUAUGUGCUUCUGUGCAUAGUAAUCAACAAUUUCAUAUAUUGAUUACUGUAAAUUAUGUAAGGAUUUAAUUAAUAUUAUUUAGUCUCCUAAUUAUUGUUAAUAGUGGGCUAGAAAUUGCCCAGGAAUAUGGUUUUAUUUUCAUGGUUCUACUAUCUUCUUAUUUCUUAAAAUUAGACAAAAUGGUUUUUUUAUUAAGCAUUCUCUUUUACCUCUAUUCUUAUGGAUGUAACUUGUGACUUUUGUCGGAGUUUGUGUAACUUUCUCCAAACAUAUUAAAUGUUCUCAUGCUUCCUUUUGCCUUAUAUGAUUUGAUGAUGGUUUAAUUAUUAUAUUCAUUUCAUAUCAUGAUAAGUAAUAAAUAUAAGUAGAUAAUGGCGGUUUGUUUGGUCUCUUAUUCCGUGGUUUUGUAGGCAGAGACAGUCCACAGAGUGUAAGUUAUAGGUUUGGCACACUUUUGCUUGACUUGUCAGUGGAAAUCAUAUUCCUGCAACCCAUGUAAGUUUGUUUACUUGAUUCAAAGUUAUGGAAACCAUAUUUACUGUGGCUUGUCCUAUAGUGUUGUCUAUCUUCUUAAUUGAGGUUUCUUUUGAUAAUUUUUUUGUUAUGGUUUUAAUGUUGGGGUACUUAGGAUAUAAAAGCUCUUACCCUUUAGUUUUGGUUUGAACUGUAACUUUUUUAUUUUACGGACAUGCAGUUAAAGCAUAAAGAUACUUGCAAGAGUGAUUAUGGAAAAACAGGUUUGAAUGCACAUGAUGAUUUUUGUAGUGUUCAAAUAUGAUUUGUUGAAUUGGUUUGUUUGAGUUGUUGAAUUGUUUACUUUUAUGCAUAGGUUUAUGCACGACAUUCUUGCAGGACAAAAUACUUGGCACAUGUGAACACCUUAUUAACGGAUGUGCAAAAGACAUUCAUUCAAACCACUCCUUCUAACUCAGAUUUACAAGGCAUAUAGGAAGUUCUAACAUUCGCAAGGUAAGGUAAAGUAAAAACACAAGUCAAUAAAAGGGAUCAACAUACAUCAACCAUUCCAGAUAAAAAUACAAAA